GACCACAUAGCUCAGUUGGAAGAGCAUUGGGCUAGUAUUCCAAAGGUCGUAGGUUCGAACCCCACCGUGGCCG
rnacentral:tRNA from 1 species